AUUAAGGAGUGUUGAGUAGCCUUGGCCAUAUAUACUUUAAAAGCUUACAUUUCAGCACUUCCUUCUCUUUUUGUUUUUUCAAAACAAUAAUUCCAGCAGAUUAGCUUAGGGUGCAUUAACAGUUCACAUUGGAUUUUCUUUCUUCUCUUCGUUCCGAACUUAUUAGCCUGUUAUUGUUUCGAAAAUUAACCCCCGCAGCUUUUGAUUAAUUUGUUGAUAGCGCCAAAAAAACAACACCACAAAGAAUAGGAAAACCGUCUGUGCUACUGAACAGAGCGGCAAACCACAAAGGGCAUAACCACAGUAACAAUUCGUUGUUUGAAAACAUGCUGUUAAAGAGUUUUAACGGAUAAACCGCACAGAGGCCAUUUUCCUGUCACACCGGUCAAUUUGCGAUAUCUGGGAUAUCAGUAACAUCUUGAGUCGGCCUAUGGACGGGAAAACUGCUCGUUGGCUAACAAGACUAAACAACAACUUAAAAAAGAGCGAAGUAAAAUGAAGGGUUUGAAAACCUUUCAAAAUCUGUGAACUAAUUUAAGGAAAACUGUGAAAUAUUUCAUCGUAUUCCUCUGAUCUGUGCCGAUAGAAGCAGUUCCAAAGUUCCUUGCCUUCCAGUAUGGCAUUUGGUUUUAAAGUUUUAAGCUUCUUUCGUGGGACCGAAUUUUUUAUUGGCGAGUGGAGCGUUUCGGCGAGAGAAAAGAUUUCCAUUAUUCAUUGUAU